UGGGGAAUAUUGCACAAUGGGGGAAACCCUGAUGCAGCGACGCCGCGUGAACGAAGAAUGUAUUCGUAUCGUAAAGUUCUGUCCUAUGGGAAGAUAAUGACAGUACCAUAGAAGAAAGCUCCGGCUAAAUACGUGCCAGCAGCCGCGGUAAUACGUAUGGAGCGAGCGUUGUCCGGAAUUAUUGGGCGUAAAGGGUACGCAGGCGGUUUAAUAAGUCGAAUGUUAAAGAUCGGGGCUCAACCCCGCAAAGCAUUGGAAACUGAUAAACUUGAGUAGUGGAGAGGAAAGUGGAAUUCCUAGUGUAGUGGUGAAAUACGUAGAUAUUAGGAGGAAUACCAGUAGCGAAGGCGACCUUCUGGACACAAACUGACGCUGAGGUACGAAAGCGUGGGGAGCAAACAGG
rnacentral:rRNA from 1 species